rnacentral:lncRNA from 1 species
GGCUGCUUUGAGUUUUAAGCAGCAAGAUGUUUUUCCUUGUGCAUUCCCUUCUGGAAAGGAUUCAUCCAUGCAGAAGAGCUCAGAGUGUAUUCUGGAGAUGGGACCUGCUUCCCACCAGUGCCCAUGAGACGCUCGUUCUGUUGGAAGGGAUGAAGGCAAGAAGCCAUCCUCUCCCAGGGACUGACCUACCUUUUCCACAACCCCUUUCAGAAAACAUACCACUGGAUACCCUCCCUUAUCAUAGCUGCUCCAAUCCUGCUUUAAGUUAGGAAUAAUUCUGGCGUGCCUUCCAAAG